rnacentral:tRNA from 1 species
GUCACUGUAGCUCAGUUGGUAGAGCAUGGUGUUUGCAACGCCAGGGUUGUGGGUUCGAUUCCCACGGGGGACC